GUUAGAACCGCUCUUGCCGACCUGGAAGCAACAGCAGCAUCUCCCACAAGAGCGUGCAACCCCAAGGCUGCUCGCCGAGGCAGCUCAGCCAUCCCGGCAGGCGCUCUCCUUCCUUCUCUCUUCUCCCCUCUCUCCUCCCAGGCCCCCCGCAGCUCCGACCCAGCCCAAGCGUUCGCAGUGGAAGAAGUAACUGCAGAUGUGGUGGAAAUAACAAGAGAACUAGAAUUAGAAGUGGAGCCUGAAGAUGGGACUGAAUUGCUGCAAUCUCAUGAUAAAAUUUGAAGGGAUGAGGAGUCACUCAUGGAAGAGCAAAGAAAGUUGUCUCUUGAGAUGAAAUCUACUCCUAGUAAAGAUGCUAUGAACAUUGUUGAAGUGACAACUUAGCUGAUAAAGCAGUGGCAGAGUUUGAGAGGAUUGACUUCAAUUUUGAAAGUUCUGUGAGUAAAAUGUUACCAAACAGCAUCAGAUGCUACAGAGAAAUGUUUCACGAAAGAGCGUCAUUUCAGCAAACUUCUCAAACUUUAUUGUAGUCUUAUUUUAAGAAAUUGCAACAGCCACCUCAGCCUUCAGCAACCACCACCCUGAUCAGUCAGCAACCAUCAACAUUGAGGCAAGACCAUCUACCAGCAGAAAGAUUAUGACUUGGCUGAAGGCUCAGAUUAUUG
rnacentral:lncRNA from 1 species